GACGAACGCUGGCGGCGUGCUUAACACAUGCAAGUCGAACGGAAAGGCCCUGCUUUUGUGGGGUGCUCGAGUGGCGAACGGGUGAGUAACACGUGAGUAACCUGCCCUUGACUUUGGGAUAACUUCAGGAAACUGGGGCUAAUACCGGAUAGGAGCUCCUGCUGCAUGGUGGGGGUUGGAAAGUUUCGGCGGUUGGGGAUGGACUCGCUGGUUAUCAGCUUGUUGGUGGGGUAGUGGCGUACCAAGGCUUUGACGGGUAGCCGGCCUGAGAGGGUGACCGGCCACAUUGGGACUGCGAUACGGCCCAGACUCCUACGGGAGGCAGUAGUGGGGAAUCUUGCGGAAUGGGCGGAAGCGUGAGGCAGCAACGCUGCGUGCGGGAUGACGGCCUUCGGGUUGUAAACCGCUUUGGCCGGUAACGAGGCGGGAGUGACGGUAAUGGGUAAAGAAGCACCGGCUAACUACGUG
rnacentral:rRNA from 1 species